CAGACGGGCGGGUGUGAUUUUCUUAGAAAUUUAGAAGCGAGUGUGGGGUGAGGGUGGAUGGCUCCACUCGCCUGCAGAGAUCCAAGACUAGUCAUGAUUUCGGAUGGGUUGCAAGGCCAUUCGUCCACCUAGCAACAGGGAGCGGGGCCACCUAACCAUACAUGACGGGGUCGAUUGCUAGAGUCUAUAUGCCGCCCUCCAGCCAUGCAAGAAUGGCCGGAGGGCGGGUGGCCGCCUACUAGAGCGGGGGCAUACCUUCUUAUCAUAUUGAUUUAUUUCUAUCAUAUAUAAAGAACUAUAUAAUUAAUCCACUUUCUACAAUUUAGUGCCAC